GUUGAUAAAGCCAAACCCAUCGCGAGAUGGGGACGGAAAACCACGGGUCUCUUGCGAUUUGAGAUAGCCGGGUUGCCUGGU
rnacentral:ncRNA from 1 species